GAAUGGUCGAGAUUUCACAACUCAGUGGACUGCUCACGUCCAUGUACCCCUCCUCCACCCCUACAGCACCUGUUCGAUGUCAACGACAUCACUCAGCAAAACACCUGUCACUCAGUCAGAGUCUACGGCAUAGCACAGGGCAAAUAUAGAUAUUCCUGAACUUCUGAAAGAGUGUCCAAAAAAACAAGCAGGUUGAGGCAGCAGUGAAUGAGACGGCAGAACAGACAGAAAGUGAAAGUUCAGCAGCAGCAGAGUUAGCAACACUACAGGCGCUGUAGGUGUGAUGGAAAGAGACACCAUACAAGACACGGAGACAGAAAAAGAAGAAUAGGUGAUGGAGAGAGACACCAGACAAGACACAGAGACAGCAACAGAAGAAUAGGUGAUGGAGAGAGACACCCGACAAGACACAGAGACAGCAACAGAAGAAUUGGUGAUGGAGAGAGACACCAGACAAGACACAGAGGCAGCAACAGAAGAAUAGGUGAUUGAGAGAGACACCAGACAAGACACAGAGACAGCAACAGAAUAAUAGAUGAUGGAGAGCGACACCAGACAAAACACUGAGACAGCAACAGAAGUAUAGGUAAUGGAGAGAGACACCAGACAAAACACUGAGACAGCAACAGAAGAAUAGGUGAUGGAGAGAGACACCAGACAAGACACAGAGACAGCAACAGAAGGAUAGCGCAUGAUGGCAACACCAGAAGAACAAAAACAGGCCAUAUCAGAAGAGGAUUGAAAAAGGAGGCAAACAAGAACCUGAGACAAUAACGUCUUAAUGUUUACAUACUGUUUUAACCACUUCAUAUGUACUCUACCAUUCAAAAGAUUGGAGUCACUUAGAAAUGUCCUUGUUUUUGAUAGAAAAACAUUUUUUGUCCGUUAAAAUAACUAUAAAUUUAUCAGAAAUACAGUGUAGACAUUGUUAAUGUUGUAAAUGAGGCCCAUUACAGAGGCCCAUUAUCAGCAACCAUCCCUCCUGUGUUCUAAUGGCACAUUGUGUCAGCUAAUCAAAGUUGAUCAUUUUAAAAGGCUAAUUGAUCAUUAGAAAGCCAUUUUGCAAUUAUGUUAGCACAGCUGCAUACUGUUGUUCUGAUUAAAGAAGCAAUAAAACUGGCCUUUAGACUA